rnacentral:rRNA from 1 species
CCUACGGGUGGCAGCAGUGGGGAAUAUUGCACAAUGGGGGAAACCCUGAUGCAGCGACGCCGCGUGAGUGAUGAAGUAAUUCGUUAUGUAAAGCUCUAUCAGCAGGGAAGAAAAUUACGGUACCUGCGUAAGAAUCCCCGGCUAACUACGUUCCAGCCGCCGCGGUAAUACGUAGGGGGCCAGCGUUUUCCGGAUUUACUGGGUGUAAAGGGAGCGUAGGCGGCAGUGCAAGUCUGGAGUGAAAGGCGGGGGCUCAAACCCCGGCCUGCUGUGGAAACUGUACGGCUGGAGUGCAGGAGAGGUAAGUGGAAUUCGUAGUGUAGCGGUGAAAUGCGUAGAUAUUAGGAAGAACACCAGUGGCGAAGGCGGCUUACUGGACUGUAACUGACGUUGAGGCUCGAAAGCGUGGGGAGCGAACAGGAUUAGAUACCCGGGUAGUC